AGUGAACGCUGGCGGUAGGCCUAACACAUGCAAGUCGAACGGCAGCACAGUAAAAGCUUGCUCUUACGGGUGGCGAGUGGCGGACGGGUGAGGAAUACAUCGGAAUCUACUUUUUCGUGGGGGAUAACGUAGGGAAACUUACUCUAAUACCGCAUACGACCUACGGGUGAAAGCAGGGGAUCUUCGGACCUUGCGCGAGUGAAUGAGCCGAUGUCGGAUUAGCUAGUUGGCGGGGUAAAGGCCCACCAAGGCGACGAUCCGUAGCUGGUCUGAGAGGAUGAUCAGCCACACUGGAACUGAGACACGGUCCAGACUCCUACGGGAGGCAGCAGUGGGGAAUAUUGGACAAUGGGCGCAAGCCUGAUCCAGCCAUACCGCGUGGGUGAAGAAGGCCUUCGGGUUGUAAAGCACUUUUGUUGGGAAAGAAAAGCAGCAGGUUAAUACCCCGCUGUUCUGACGGUACCCAAAGAAUAAGCACCGGCUAACUUCGUG
rnacentral:rRNA from 1 species